rnacentral:lncRNA from 1 species
GUCAGUGGCAAGUCAGAAAGACAUGCCGAGCAGGAAAGGGGUUUAAUGUCAGAGAUUGGCUGCAAAAGUUCUUAAAAGGACUGAAGGAAUAAAAGAGAGACGAAAAGCUAGAAUGCAGAAGUUUCUAGAAGCCUAAGAUCUGGAGCUGCCCCUGACCCUGGAUUGGAGCCCAAACCCACAUUUACCACUGACCUGUUGGAGCUGCCGCCACCACGCUGCACUCAGAAGUCCGGGACUUUCCACAGAGCCACUAGUUGAUAGCUGCUGUGUCCAACCAUCACCAAAAGAGGUAGUCCUUGUGCCAGCAUCCAGCAGUGACCCAACCAGAGACAUGAAAAAUCCAGAUGGGCUCUGUCAAGGAGUUUUCCCCAGAAAAUGGAAAAGGAAGAAGGGCAAGAGCAAGUGUGGAGCUGGGACCGUGGGCCAGUGGAAGUGGGUGGAAGACUGCAGGUACCCAGAGGGAGUCUGUGUGAACUGCCUGGGAAGGGGGUACAUGUCAAGCUGAGAUGCCUGGCAGUGCAGCAGGAGGUGAGAUCAGAGGCACCUGGCUCAGGAAGACACAAUGGCACAAUGUGAAGGGACAAGUCACAAAAGGACAGUUAUUCCCACUCUGUGUGGUGUUUAUGAUGCACAAUAUUUCUCUUUAAGGAGACUUAAGAUUAA